UGGGGAAUAUUGCACAAUGGGCGAAAGCCUGAUGCAGCGACGCCGCGUGAGGGAUGACGGCCUUCGGGUUGUAAACCUCUUUCAGCAGGGACGAAGCGCAAGUGACGGUACCUGCAGAAGAAGCACCGGCUAACUACGUGCCAGCAGCCGCGGUAAUACGUAGGGUGCAAGCGUCGUCCGGAAUUACUGGGCGUAAAGAGUUCGUAGGCGGUUUGUCGCGUCGUUUGUGAAAACCAGCAGCUCAACUGCUGGCUUGCAGGCGAUACGGGCAGACUUGAGUACUCCAGGGGAGACUGGAAUUCCUGGUGUAGCGGUGAAAUGCGCAGAUAUCAGGAGGAACACCGGUGGCGAAGGCGGGUCUCUGGGCAGUAACUGACGCUGAGGAACGAAAGCGUGGGUAGCGAACAGG
rnacentral:rRNA from 1 species